CAUCUAGGCGGUCAAUCAAGUCGAAGGUGAAAACUUGUGGCUCAACCAUAAGCUUGCCUACGAAACUGAUUAACUAGAGUACUGGAGAGGUGGACGGAACUACACGAGUAGAGGUGAAAUUCGUAGAUAUGUGUAGGAAUGCCGAUGGUGAAGAUAGUUCACUGGACAGAAACUGACGCUGAAGUGCGAAAGCUAGGGGAGCAAACA
rnacentral:rRNA from 1 species